GUGUAAUUCAAGAAGAAGACGACAACAGUAUGAAGAAAACAAACGAUUUUUUUAAGACCUAAAAUAGUUACUUUAACAAAUAUUUCCUUGAAAGAGUUUGGAAAAUGAAUGCCUACACCUGGUGGAGGCCCGGCAAGUUGACCAAGCACACCUCACCGUCUGCCACCUGGAUCACCUGGAUCCUUAUUAAGCUCCUGGAGAGACACUGAGAAGUGUCACCUCAUGAUGCUCCUCAGCUUCCUGGUCGGGACAACUUAAUGUGAUUUGGCAACAAUAACCUUCCAUGAGAGGAUAAGAAAAGGCCUUUGAAAAGCAAAAGCAGCCAGCAGGACUGGUUCCAUUCUGGACGUAAAGCUCUAUGCGGCGACAGGAUCCUAAAAGGUACAAAAAAUGAAAAGCAGUGAAACUACUUUUUACCUUUUUGUUUAUUUAACCCACAAUAUGAGGUUUUGCAAAAAUAAAAAUUAACCUACAAAUGAUGUUCAUGGAGGACAGGAGUGUCCAAAUCAAUCUCUCAAGGAGCCAAAAUCCAAAACAAACCUUAGGU